GGAUCGGGCGGCGACCGGUGGGACGGUCGCCAGGUAUGGAUCCACUGCCCCCGUUUCGUCAGGACGCGCGGCCCCGCCCCAAGGGUCGUGCC
rfam:Maribius salinus strain DSM 26892 genome assembly, contig: Ga0069991_102